GUGGUAUCCUGUCUGAAUAUGGGGGGACCAUCCUCCAAGGCUAAAUACUCCUGACUGACCGAUAGUGAACCAGUACCGUGAGGGAAAGGCGAAAAGAACCCCGGCGAGGGGAGUGAAAAAGAACCUGAAACCGUGUACGUACAAGCAGUGGGAGCACCCUUUGGGGUGUGACUGCGUACCUUUUGUAUAAUGGGUCAGCGACUUAUAUUCUGUAGCAAGGUUAACCGAAUAGGGGAGCCGGAGGGAAACCGAGUCUUAAUUGGGCGUUAAGUUGCAGGGUAUAGACCCGAAACCCGGUGAUCUAGCCAUGGGCAGGUUGAAGGUUGGGUAACACUAACUGGAGGACCGAACCGACUAAUGUUGAAAAAUUAGCGGAUGACCUGUGGCUGGGGGUGAAAGGCCAAUCAAACCGGGAGAUAGCUGGUUCUCCCCGAAAGCUAUUUAGGUAGCGCCUCGUGAAUUCAUCUCCGGGGGUAGAGCACUGUUUCGGCUAGGGGGCCAUCCCGGCUUACCAACCCGAUGCAAACUGCGAAUACCGGAGAAUGUUAUCACGGGAGACACACGGCGGGUGCUAACGUCCGUCGUGAAGAGGGAAACAACCCAGACCGCCAGCUAAGGUCCCAAAGUCAUGGUUAAGUGGGAAACGAUGUGGGAAGGCCCAGACAGCCAGGAUGUUGGCUUAGAAGCAGCCAUCAUUUAAAGAAAGCGUAAUAGCUCACUGGUCGAGUCGGCCUGCGCGGAAGAUGUAACGGGGCUAAACCAUGCACCGAAGCUGCGGCAGCGACACUCAGGUGUUGUUGGGUAGGGGAGCGUUCUGUAAGCCUGCGAAGGUGGCCUGUGAGGGUUGCUGGAGGUAUCAGAAGUGCGAAUGCUGACAUAAGUAACGAUAAAGCGGGUGAAAAGCCCGCUCGCCGGAAGACCAAGGGUUCCUGUCCAACGUUAAUCGGGGCAGGGUGAGUCGACCCCUAAGGCGAGGCCGAAAGGCGUAGUCGAUGGGAAACGGGUUAAUAUUCCCGUACUUGGUGUUACUGCGAAGGGGGGACGGAGAAGGCUAUGUUGGCCGGGCGACGGUUGUCCCGGUUUAAGCGUGUAGGUGUGUGUUCCAGGUAAAUCCGGUUCACUUUAACACUGAGGCGUGAUGACGAGGCACUACGGUGCUGAAGCAACAAAUGCCCUGCUUCCAGGAAAAGCCUCUAAGCAUCAGGUAACAUCAAAUCGUACCCCAAACCGACACAGGUGGUCAGGUAGAGAAUACCAAGGCGCUUGAGAGAACUCGGGUGAAGGAACUAGGCAAAAUGGUGCCGUAACUUCGGGAGAAGGCACGCUGACACGUAGGUGAAGUGAUUUACUCAUGGAGCUGAAGUCAGUCGAAGAUACCAGCUGGCUGCAACUGUUUAUUAAAAACACAGCACUGUGCAAACACGAAAGUGGACGUAUACGGUGUGACGCCUGCCCGGUGCCGGAAGGUUAAUUGAUGGGGUCAGCGCAAGCGAAGCUCCUGAUCGAAGCCCCGGUAAACGGCGGCCGUAACUAUAACGGUCCUAAGGUAGCGAAAUUCCUUGUCGGGUAAGUUCCGACCUGCACGAAUGGCGUAAUGAUGGCCAGGCUGUCUCCACCCGAGACUCAGUGAAAUUGAACUCGCUGUGAAGAUGCAGUGUACCCGCGGCAAGACGGAAAGACCCCGUGAACCUUUACUAUAGCUUGACACUGAACAUUGAGCCUUGAUGUGUAGGAUAGGUGGGAGGCUUUGAAGUGUGG
rnacentral:rRNA from 1 species